rnacentral:rRNA from 1 species
GACAAACGCUGGCGGCGUGCCUAACACAUGCAAGUCGAACGAGAAAGUCGGCUUCGGCCGAUGAGUACAGUGGCGCACGGGUGAGUAACACGUGGGUAACCUACCUCUAGGUGGGGGAUAACACACCGAAAGGUGUGCUAAUACCGCAUAACCCGGUUGAUUUUCGGAUUGACCGGUAAAGGUGGCCUCUUGAUCAAAGCUACCGGGAAGAGAUGAGUCCGCGUCCCAUUAGCUAGUUGGUGGGGUAAUGGCCUACCAAGGCGACGAUGGGUAGCUGGUCUGAGAGGACGAUCAGCCACACUGGAACUGGAACACGGUCCAGACUCCUACGGGUGGCAG